rnacentral:tRNA from 1 species
GUCAGUAUGGCCGAGUGGUUAAGGCGCUAGACUGUCCGUAUCCCCCUCAUAAAGUCCUUUUAAAAAAUUAUCAACUAACAACCCUCCAGUGAAUAUCAAUUCGAGGUAUCUAGUUCAUUCGUGAUCCUAGGUUCGAACCCUAGUGCUGACG